rnacentral:ncRNA from 1 species
AUACUGAAAUGCAUGGUGGGGAACAAUGUGAAAUUCAUUGACUGUUCCUGCAACGGUGUGAACAUAAGUUUGAGUCCGAGCGCCACCCAGUAUAGCCCGCUGUUGAACGAAGGCCAGGAAAAGUCUAGUUCUGCAAUGUAAAA